rnacentral:misc_RNA from 1 species
GAUGAAGAACGUAGUGAAAUGCGAUAGUAAUGUGAAUUGCAGAAUUCAGUGAAUCAUCGAAUCUUUGAACGCACAUUGCGCCCCCUGGUAUUCCGGGGGGCAUGCCUGUCCGAGCGUCAUUACAACCCUCAAGCUCAGCUUGGUGUUGGGCCCCGCCGCCCCGGCGGGCCCUAAAGUCAGUGGCGGUGCCGUCCGGCUCCGAGCGUAGUAAUUCUUCUCGCUCUGGAGGUCCGGUCGUGUGCUCGCCAGCAACCCCCAAUUUUUUUCAGGUUGACCUCGGAUCAGGUAGGGAUACCCGCUGAACUUAAGCAUAUCAAUAAGCGGAGGA